rnacentral:rRNA from 1 species
AUUGAACGCUGGCGGCAUGCCUAACACAUGCAAGUCGAGCGAGCGGCGGACGGGUGAGUAAUGGCUGGGUAACUGCCUGCUGGAGGGGGAUAACCACUGGAAAAGGUAACUACUACCGCACACCAUCAGAUGUGCCCAGAUGGGAUUAGCUAGUAGGUGGGGUAAUGGCUCACCAAGGCGACGAUCCCUAGCUGGUCUGAGAGGAUGACCAGCCACACUGGAACUGAGACACGGGCCAGACUCCUACGGGAGGCAGCAGUGGGGAAUAUUGCACAAUGGGGGCAAGCCUGAUGCAGCCAUGCCGCGUGUGUGAAGAAGGCCUUCGGGUUGUAAAGCACUUUCAGCGGGGAGGCGUUACCCGCAGAAGAAGCACCGGCUAACUCCGUGCCAGCAGCCGCGGUAAUUC